rnacentral:rRNA from 1 species
UACGGGGGGGGCAAGCGUUGUUCGGAAUUACUGGGCGUAAAGGGCUCGUAGGCGGCCAACUAAGUCAGACGUGAAAUCCCUCGGCUUAACCGGGGAACUGCGUCUGAUACUGGAUGGCUUGAGGUUGGGAGAGGGAUGCGGAAUUCCAGGUGUAGCGGUGAAAUGCGUAGAUAUCUGGAGGAACACCGGUGGCGAAGGCGGCCAUCUGGACGGUAACUGACGCUGAGACGCGAAAGCGUGGGGAGCAAACAGG